CUUAUGGAGCUGGUGGUCCUUCUCAAAGUUCUGCAGCAAUCCCAACAAGCCGUGGUAGUUCACUGUAGGCUUUGUCAUUCAAAAAUGAGUAAGGAAGGGGAGGAAGGACUUGGGUAAUGAAUUAAGGAUCGCAUCCUUAUCGAGCUGCUCGUGCAGGGGAAAGCCCAGUUUACUUAGGCGCUCAAUCAUUUCGAUCAUGUAC
rnacentral:lncRNA from 1 species